AAAUGGCGAUACCCUUAAAACACUGAUUAGAAACCACAUGUUGAAAACGUAUCGUUGGAUUGGAUAAUACGGCGUACUUUUCUUUCUUGACAUUUUUAUUCGUAAUAAUGGUAUUUAUCUGGUAACAGCCUAUACUUUCUAGUUUCUACAUGGCAAUUUCAUCUGAUCAUGUGGCCUAAGCAGCUGAACAUUCUGCAAAAUGUCGUCUCUUUUUCCUGUACCAGCUUCAUGUUUGUCAGAAACACUUCAGAACAAUUCGGUUGUGGAGAUUUAACCUUUGAAAAGCUUGCCAACUGAUUAACACCCUGGUAUCUGGUAUCAGCCUAUAAUUUCUACAUGGCAAUUUCAUCUGAUCAUGUGGCCUGAGCAGCUGAACAUUUUGCCAAAAUGUCUCUUUUUCCUGUACCAGCUUCAUGUUUGUCAGAAACACUUCAGAACAAUUCAGGAUUAAAACCCUGGUGGAGUUUGAGCUUCUUUGUUGCUGCCCAACUUACACAUGGAUUUGACGUAGCCAGCUGAGGGCUUUAAUUCUUGUUGAUCAUGUAUGUUCGUGUAGUUGCUGUCCGAUGUGGCACGUUGUUGCAGCCUAUGCUGGUGAAAGAUCUUUCUACAUCAAGUUCAAUUGGCCGUUCCUUGGUGGUGAUGUUGUGUUACCGAAGUUGCAUCAUAUUUUGUUAAAUUGUCAUCGUGACUAUUGCAGUUUACCGUUUAUAAGUUCAGAAGCAACAAAAACAAAUAUGGGUUGUUUUAUCAACAAAUAAUAAACAUGUUUCCGGGAAUGGGAAAGAAAAGUGGGGGAUGUUGGAGGGGGGAGGGAGGAUAUUUCAAGUUUGGAUAAAAAUUCAGUUAAUCUAUAACCCUACAAAUGUUGCCCUACCAAUUAAUCUCCAAACCUCACAAACAUAUACCUUCCAAUCCUUUCAACCCCGAAAACAUAAACCCACUAACCCUUAAAUUUAUACCCUUAACCCUAUAAACCAAUGUUAAACCUUAACCUUGUAAUAUCUGUAAUAAAUAAAAUUAAAUAUAUUGCAUGAA